rnacentral:rRNA from 1 species
UACGUAGGGGCCGAGCGUUGUCCGGAGUUAUUGGGCGUAAAGCGCGCGCAAGCGGCCUCGCGCGCCCGACGUGAAAGCCCCCGGCUUAACCGGGGAGGGUCGUUGGGGACGGCGGGGCUUGAGGGCGGGAGAGGGUGGUGGAAUUCCCGGUGUAGUGGUGAAAUGCGUAGAGAUCGGGAGGAACACCCGUGGCGAAGGCGGCCACCUGGGCCGACCCUGACGCUGAGGCGCGAAGGCGUGGGGAGCGAACGGG